ACACGACUACAUUAGAUACCCGUGUAGUCCUAGCCGUAAACGAUACUCGCUAGGUGUCGGCCACGGUGCGACCGUUGUCGGUGCCGUAGGGAAGCCGUGAAGCGAGCCACCUGGGAAGUACGGCCGCAAGGCUGAAACUUAAAGGAAUUGGCGGGGGAGCACAACAACGGGUGGAGCUUGCGGUUUAAAUGGAUUCAACGCCGGAAAUCUUACCGGGACCGACAGCAACAUGAAGGCCAAGCUGAAGACUUUGCCGGAUUAGCUG
rnacentral:rRNA from 1 species